UACGUAGGGUGCGAGCGUUAAUCGGAAUUACUGGGCGUAAAGGGUGCGCAGGCGGCGUCGCAAGUCAGGCGUGAAAUCCCCGGGCUUAACCUGGGAACUGCACUUGAAACUACGAUGCUGGAGUAUGGCAGAGGGAGGUGGAAUUCCACGUGUAGCGGUGAAAUGCGCAGAUAUCAGGAGGAACACCGAUGGCGAAGGCAGCUCGCUGGGACGGUACUGACGCUGAGACGCGAAAGCGUGGGGAGCAAACAGG
rnacentral:rRNA from 1 species